ensembl:snoRNA Gm26341 small nucleolar RNA SNORA17
CCUGCUUCUAGAGGCAUUGUAGAUGUGGCUGCUGAAUCACAUGUGUGUCAGUAGGCAGCUGAGAGGAGAAAGGCUGCUUUCAUAUGCUCAGUGUUCAGACAUAUGAACUUCUGAAUAAUUGGUAGACUAACAUU